rnacentral:lncRNA from 1 species
AGAUCAGCCCUGGGGUUCAGAGGGAUCCUGACAGCUACUCCUCAAGAUCCUCUCUGUUGUGAUUCAUCCCCCCGGGGCCCUACAGUUUCUCCUUCCUGACUCUUACAUUUCUUUGGAUGGCAUCAUUAUUUACCUGUCUCCUCCCAUAGUUAGGUGCCAAGCACUGUGGAUUCUGCCUCUCAGUGUCCAGACACCCAUUUUCCUUCCCACUGUUCCUUCCCCAUGGAGAAGCCUGUGGCUGGCUGACAGCAGAGAGAGAUGCUCAACUUGGAGAAGGUGUUACCUGGGCCAGGUGGGGAAGGUUUGUUUGCAGAGCAAAGAAGUGAAGAUCCUCAUGUGACAGGUGACCUGCCAUAUAAUCAGAAGGAAGAAAUGUUACACAGAGAGGCUGAGAAGAAUCUGAGGACUUGCUAAGUUUUCCCCAGUUUAUUACCAUUAGAUCAUAUGCCUUUUUUGUUCAAUCAUACUUCUAUACAACUGUCCAUCAUUCAUUAAACCUAACCACAAAAGUAGUUUUCACUCGGUUUUUGAGUGAAGGCUCCUGUGUCACAUAAAACUUACAUUAAAUAAAUUUGUUCCA